GUUGAAUAAAAUACUACACACUUAUAUGUACAAUUCAAAUAAAGAAAAUGAAGAAAUAAACAUAAGCGGGUAAGAAAAUCCUAACCACAAGCUUUCAAUCUUCAAAACCAAAGUGUGUGUGCAAGAAUCCUAGCUUCCAACUUGUUCUCUCUUGUAUUUAAAGACUAAAAAUAAGCCAAAGAUGAGAUGAUUUGAGUAUUAAAGGGUUUGGGGUAAAAAAUUUUGAAAUUCCAGAUCUGCUCAGUUUUUACGCCCAGUCUUCAUCGCAUUCGCGCUCAAGCCUUCGCGUUCGAAAAGACUUACUCCCCACAGUCAACGUGUUCGCGUUUACCUCUUCGCGUUCGCGAAGGAUCUUGUUCUGCUACAUCGCGUUUGCGUGAUACACUUCGCGUUAGCAAAUGUCUGGCUCCUGUUUCAUCGCGUUCAAGAAGGCUUGGCUCCUGUUUCCUUGCAUUCGCAGUGUCACUUCGCGUUCGGGAAGAGUAAAUCACUGGGCAGAUUUUCCUAGUCCAUUUUAGAUUCUUUUUGAGUUGUUUUCACUUGGUUUCACCACCAUUACUUUUAAAUCACAUAGAACCUAUGAAAUGGAAGUAAACGACAUUAAACACAUGAUUUUACCACUCAAACAUAGCAAAAAAAUAGGUUUAAAGAUAAAAUAAGUUGGCAAAAUACCAACUCAUCAACAGUUAGGGGUGAAGGAUGUAUAAAACAUCAGCUUGAGGGGGAGUGUUGACUAGAGUUAGUUAAUCAAGCUGAUAAGUUAAUUAUGUAAUUAUAGUUAGGUGGCUAGUUAGUUAGCACAAUAAAUAGAAGUUAGUUAUACUAUAGAUAUAAGAAUACACAGUUUACUCUGUAAAUAUACGCUUGUAUCAUUUCAUUUUUCCAUUUUCCUAAAAACCAAGUUCUGUUUCUUUGAACUGUGAGUUAUUUGCAUGUCUUCUUCGUUGAGCUAGAUCUCUAGAUCCAUGGCAGCUAACAGUUUUCCUAUAACACUAAUAUUUAUACAACAUUUCCUUAUAUAGAAGAGAAUUAAAACAAUAGCAACCAAUAAUGGUAUUGAUUCUGCACCACCACACAAACUUCAUCGGGACAUAGUUAGGUUGCCUAGUUCUUGGAACAGAUAAUUGAAUAUCCGAAAACAAGUUCCGAGGAAGUUUGUGUGACGGUACAGAAUUAGUACUAGUAGUAGUUGGUGUUAUUUGAAUUCUCUUCUAUAUAAAGACUAGUGUUAUAGAAAAACGCA
rnacentral:lncRNA from 1 species